rnacentral:rRNA from 1 species
GACGAACGCUGGCGGCGUGCUUAACACAUGCAAGUCGAACGGAAAGGCCCUGCUUGCAGGGUACUCGAGUGGCGAACGGGUGAGUAACACGUGGGUGAUCUACCCUGCACUUCGGGAUAAGCCUGGGAAACUGGGUCUAAUACCGGAUAGGAGCCAUUUUUAGUGUGAUGGUUGGAAAGUUUUUUCGGUGUAGGAUGAGCUCGCGGCCUAUCAGCUUGUUGGUGGGGUAAUGGCCUACCAAGGCGGCGACGGGUAGCCGGCCUGAGAGGGUGGACGGCCACAUUGGGACUGAGAUACGGCCCAGACUCCUACGGGAGGCAGCAGUGGGGAAUAUUGCACAAUGGGCGCAAGCCUGAUGCAGCGACGCCGCGUGGGGGAUGACGGCCUUCGGGUUGUAAACUCCUUUCGCUAGGGACGAAGCUUUUUGUGACGGUACCUAGAGAAGAAGCACCGGCUAACUACGUG